GAUCCUGGCUCAGGAUGAACGCUGGCGGCGUGCUUAACACAUGCAAGUCGAGCGAAGCACAUAAGUUCGAUUCUUCGGAUGAAGACUUUUGUGACUGAGCGGCGGACGGGUGAGUAACGCGUGGGUAACCUGCCUCAUACAGGGGGAUAACAGCUAGAAAUGGCUGCUAAUACCGCAUAAGACCACAGUACUGCAUGGUACAGUGGUAAAAACUCCGGUGGU
rnacentral:rRNA from 1 species